CCCUUAGAUGUUCUGGGCUGCACGCGCGCUACACUGAUGCGUUCAACGAGUUUACGGCCUUGCCCGAUAGGGUUGGGUAAUCUUCUUAAAACGCAUCGUGAUGGGGAUAGAUUAUUGCAAUUAUUAAUUUUCAACGAGGAAUUCCUAGUAAGUGCGAGUCAUCAGCUCGUACUGAUUACGUCCCUGCCCUUUGUACACACCGCCCGUCGCUCCUACCGAUUGAGUGAUCCGGUGAGGCUUUGGGAUCUGAGCGGAAAGAGCGUUUCGCUGUUUCUGCUCGGAAAACUCAGUCGAACCUUAUCAUUUAGAGGAAGGAGAAGUCGUAACA
rnacentral:rRNA from 1 species